CUGGUGAUACACUAAUAGGAAGGAGGUUGGCACUCUGAGUUUGUGGUGGAGUUCAGGAACAAUGAUGUUGAACACUCAGCUGAAAUCCACAAACAGGAUCUGUGUAUAGGUCCCUGCGGUGUCGAGGUGUUGCAGUCCAGAGGUGUUUAAAGUCUUUUAAAUUGUGAGGUGUGGCCCUCAUGGAUCAGACUCUGUGUUCUAUUUGACUAAAAGUGGAGAAUUUGCAGGCCACGUCAACACAUUGAACCUUGGUCCGCAGUCCCGUUCUAAUGCUCACAUGUACCAUUGUAGGUACUUUUGGCCUUGGACAUGUGUCAGCCUGAGUCAUCUGUGGUGAUGCAGCCCCUUCAAAAACAAACAAGUGAAACUACAUGCUCUGUUUGUUCUGAGACCUUUCUGUCAGAACCACCAUGAACUUUUCCAGCCACUAAAGCUCCAGUAACUGUUUUUUGUUGAAUUACACAAAAAGAGCCAGUCAUCACUCAACACUUCAGUGAGCCUUGGCUCCUGACCCUCUCACCAGUUCUCUGGUUUUGCCUCCUUGGACAAGAGGUGCAGGUUUGGAGAUGGUCUGACCUCUGUCUAGGUGUCUCACAUUCAUAAACUUGUUUAACUUUUUAGCUUUUUUAUUCAUAGACAAAAUGGCUAGGGCUCAGCGGUAGAGUCUUUUAAUCUGAGGGUUGGGGGUUUGAUCCCAGGUUCUGCCGGUUCUUGUAUCAGUGUGCAACUAGUGAACAGUAAUGAGCACAUUGCUUAGCAGCCUCUGCCAUCGGUGUAUGAACGUAAGGUGAAUGGAUGAAUGUGACGUGUGAUGUAAAAGUGCCAUGAAAGCUCUGACUAGACUAAGAGAAACACUGUAUGAAUACAGUCCAUUUACUGUCCCAACCAGCCGACAAUGUAAACACCAUAGACUGUAUAUAGAAUGGACGCCGUCUGCCUCCUCGCUGGGUGAAGCCACUCCGAGAACAGCACCCUCUAAAGAUGGGCUGCAGUAUAGGUCAUAAAUCUCGCCUCCUUCAGCAAUCCAUAUGGAGCUGUGGACAAACUUUAUAGAUUCAUUACGCAGAAUAUCAUUUUUUUCUCCCCCCUGCUUGCGAUGUUGACAUGUAGUUACUGUAAGACUGGUUUGUGUUCAAGUUCUCUUUUUUUCUGUACAGCUCCAUUUUUAAAAGUUAUUGGGGGUUUCUAUGAUUGACACUUUAUACAGCCUAUGGGCUUACAAAGUUUACAUAGCUUACCCAGGGGAUACGCUGUUUGAGCCGAGCGUCAUCACAGCGACUCGCCUGCCGAAUACGUACAAUGCUACUGUGCAAGUGGUGAAAUGCGCACAACGCUUCUGCACCAGUGGUGGUUCCGGGAAGUUGAGAAAAUCCCGUAAAUACCGAGAGCAGUUCGGCUUCAAAUUCAUAUAAUGGCAGAAGGCAGAACCAAGUUGUCCAUACAGUCUGUGGUAAAUGCAGUAUCAGUGUUUCUGACUUCACCUGUCAGAGGUCUCAAUGUAAUUCCUGACAACCACAUAUGAGAAGUAGCUACUUUGUCAGGUCCAGUCAGUUAGAUGUCCAUAAUUUAAUUCAGAGGUGAGCUAUUAUUCAACAGUUUAAGUUCUAAUUCCUCAUUACAUAAUGAUAUCUUAUCCUUACUGGUUAUUUAAAAUAAUUUGCCCCUUGUUUAAUGUUUACGUCCAUGCCUUCAUUGAGAGGCUGGCACAGUGGGUAGAGCAGGAAAUAGGAAAAAAAGAGUGUGGAAUGAGGAUCACAGGUUUAAUUGAGCCAGCUGUACUCGCAUAUUUAUAUAUAUAUUUAUUUUAUUUAUAUUAAGGAGUACUUCCUCUAUAAAGAGAGCACAAUCAAUAGCUAAGCCAAUUUAGUGCCUCUGAAUAGAAUACAUUUUAAGUUUUGUUCAGUGUUUGGUCAAAUUAAAAUUUUUAAAGCGGUUGAAUUUGAAACAUUUUAAUUUGAACAUUCAUGUGCUGCGGAAUUUCUUUAAAAAAUAUUGAGAAAAAUAAAGUGGAUAAAAAUGAAAAAUGUACUUGUAGGAGCUUUUCCUGGUUUGUACAGCAGAGGGCAGUAAGACUCCAUGAUGAUGUUCGAUAUGUCACAGCAGGUUUAGAGGCUUAUAUCACAGUUGUUUGUAAGAGAAAUCCUCCACAAUUUUUCUUAUUUAUCUGAUAUCAAUAUUAAUAAUAUUUGAAAAACAUCACUGCAAUGCAAAAUCCUCUUUAUAUGAAAAUGAGAGAAUGUCAAACUCCACUGGGAUGUUUCAUGUGAGUGUGAAAAAACAUGACAGGAUUAGUGAGAUGAGUGUUGUGAUGAAUGUGACACGAACUGGCCAAUCCAUUUACAUAAUAACAUUUAAUAAGCUCAAAUAGAAGGUAGACAGCUGCUGAGAGAGGAGCUCUUCAAACUGCUACAGUCGCUGUGAGUCAUGAAAUAAUAAAAUCUGAUGCCCCUGAUGCAGCUGCCUCUGUUUGGAGAGCAGUUGUCAAUGCUGUUGAGUGACAUUGUAUUCUUUUGUUGUCUGUGAAGUUCAUUGAAAGUAUUCUGAGCGAGCCCUGCAGCUGAACAAAAUGAUGCAUCGGAUAAUCUGAUCUGUUGUUGCACCCUGCUGCAUGAAUUUGCAUAUUCAUGUAGAAAGUAAUUUACCUCAAGAGCUAAAAGCUUUAGAAAGAUGACGAAGGCCCUUUAUCUAACUCGGCUGAAUCAGUUUUACUUCCUCUCUAUUUCGUCAUGAGCAAUUAGGAGAGAUUCUACCAGAUGUGGCAACUCAUUAUGUCACAUUGUACUAAUGCAUCAACACACACUUGUUGCUAAUUGCUGUUUAUAAGGGAGCUUUCAGUGAAAUGUAAUACCAUCAGAUUUCUGCACAACUUCUUUGUUCCCUGCUGUGACGCAAGUUUUUUUUUUGUUUUUUUUAUGAUCAUUUCACGGAAAUCCAUCUGCUCUGUAAUGGACCAUACCAACAGGCAUGCAGGGUGGCCGUCAGGUACCUGAAAAUGCAGAAUUCUUACAAAAGGUCUUAUAGUUAAAGUAGAACGGGUUUAUACAGAGGAUCAAAAUAAAAAGGUCUAUUUAAAUCAUCAGCUGUCAGCUCUCCUGUGCAGUUCUCCCGUCUCUGAAGGUUAUGGUCCAGGUUGUAGUAAAGCUUGUUCAGGCAGAAGCUUUCAUGCACCUGAUCUCAGAGACAAAGCAGCACCUCCUCAGCAAGCCAAACAAGAGUCUGAUGAAUGGGGGCAUGAUCCCCCCUUGUGUUGUUUGAGUUCAUUUAAGCAUACCUCAAGGCUUUCUCAUCGACUUUGGGAGAAAUUGAGUGAUGUUCUAACUGAAGUGGGACAAAUUACUGAACAGGGGGAAAAUGAACCAAUCAACAUAGUCACAGUGAUAUUUCAAACAUGAGCCAUGUAGUUUUUCAUAUCCUUUUUUAAGCAUUUGAAAAAUUCAAGGCUCAAAGCUUUGGUAUUUGAUCAAACUGAAAAAUGUGAUCAACAUUCGCCCAGUUUAAGCUGCCAUGUAGUAAAAUUGGGUCACUAGUGUGGGAAAUUUGUUUGUCUUGAAUCUCAUGUCAUCUACUAUUUAUAGAAGAAUUAAGAAGUCUGAUGGCUGUGGGUACAAAAGAUCUUCUGAUUCUUUCCACCCCGCAGCGAAGAGAGAGGAGCCGUCCACCCCUGUUGUUCUUUUGGUCCAUCAAGGUGUUUUGAAGUGAAUGAUCCAUGUUCUUCAGAAUAGCCUCCACCUUCCUCAGUGUGCGUCUCUCUAACACAUCCUCCAGUGAGUCCAACUUGAUUCCAACCACAGAGAAAGCUUUUUCCACCAGUUUGGCACCAUGUUCAGUCUGUAUCCAGCCAUCAUUUCAUGGUGAACAUUCGAGGAACUUUAGCCGUUGCCUUGGAUGGGAUGUAAACAAGUAUUGUCACAAUACGACUGAACUCUCUUGGAACAUAAUACGGCCAAAGGGCAACCGCCAACAGUUCAAUAUCUUGACAACACAAGUUCUCCUUGACAGCUUCAGUAUGUGUGGAGAGUUACAUCAUCUUUGGUUGACAAAUAAGCCAGACCUCCUCCUUUCUUCUUGCCACAAGCUUUAGCCACUCUGUCUGACCUUAUAAGAGUGAAGCUAGGUAGAUCCACAGUGGAGUCCCAGUUGUUUUGAUUCAACCAGGUUUCAGUAAAAGACAGGAGACUGCACUCACAGUAUGCUUUCUCAGUUGUUACCAAUACCUCAAUCUUGUGGCUUUUGUUGGGCAGGGAAUUGAUGUUUCCCAUGAUAACUGAUGAAAGAAAGGGUUUGUAUCUCCAUUUCCUAGCCUUCAAUUUUACCUUCACCUUUACACCAGCACGGCACCUCAAAAACAGCUCCAGAUGUCUGCUGGAAUCGAAUGUUGUUCUCAAGAUUAUUCCGUCUUAAUGAAACAUCCAUCAGUGGUGGACAAAAUAUCCCAAAAAUAUGAAAAAAUAGAAAAAAAUCAUGCACAAAAUUCAGAGAAACCAGACUUUGCUGCUUCUUGGUUGAGCGCAGGUCCUACAAAGUUGAUUACUCUGUAGUUUCUUUUCCACUGUCCUGUGAUAUCUGCUGAAUUAUUGAUCAUGAUUAUGUAACAGCUACGAAAGGUCAAGUCUGUUUCCUGGCUGCAUUUCUUAUGACCAAGUAGCUGGGACUGAAGACACAGACACCUGCACCAAUCUCCUGUUAUCACGAAUGUCAACCCACGACACAGGAGGAGAACAUGAGAGUGGACCAGAAUGUGUGUCAGUGUAAACAAGAGAGGCGGCAAACAGCCGGCUGAAAAGAUUCAAGUCCAUAAAAGAUUCAUCAUCAACAGCUGAAAUCCACAUUUUCACAUGAAUCUUGUGACAGAUUUACAUAACUGAUAACCACCACAGCAGUGAGAGAGGAGGGGAUAGCUGAUGUCCAGCUGAUAGCACAUAGAGUAAAAGCCAAACUUAAACUGAACUGGCCUGAACUGUUUUCCCUCAUCUCACUAAAUGUCAUGUGGUUUUGCUUUGCUUUUUUCCAGAAAAAACACCUUCAUUUGGUAAUUUGAAAAGAGGAACAAGAAGACACAUGCUAUUCAGUUCGAGGAGUGUGAAUAUUUUUCAGCUCCUGUUCCAAAAACCUUAAGCACCACUUAUGUUUUGGAUAUUUUUACGGAUGAAGCUAGUGGAAAUGUUACAAUAGCCUUCUAAACGGUGGAAGCCAGAGGCUCUGUAUGAGCUCUGCUCUUCAAUGGGUAUGAUUAAGUUUUAAGUGUACUUGACCCUCCUGGUGUAAUGGAAGUGGGAUGGGCUGGUCAGGAAAAGCUCUCGCAGUGCAAUUCUCUCUUCUCCUUAUUCUAGUAAGCAGUCAUGACAACUGACAAGUGGAGGACAAGCACAAAACCGGUCAGACUGCAUCUUGUGCAGGCAGCAAUAAUACAAUACAAAAGUGGUCAGCCUUGUCACUGAUGGUCUUGUUUGCUUGAAUUUCACUAACAUGAACAAAAACUCCUCACAGGCGCUUUACACUGUUGUUAAGAGUUUCAAAAGAUGUUUGUCCCUCAAGUCCAGGGUGGCAUUGAGAUAAGCGUUGAGUGGCUCAGUCAAUGAUUAUGUGGAGUACUUUUGUUUAACUCAGCACAUACAAAUUUAUUGCAGGUGAAAAAAAUUCAAUUGAUCCUUGAUUUUAGAAAAGGUAACCAUAGAGCAACUUUUUUUUGUCCAAACAUCUCUGCCAUCUGACGCUGGCAGGUUUUACUGUCCCCAACUGACACUCGAAUGGCCCCUGAAAGCACUACAACAUCCAGUUUUUAUUGUUCUACACUGGUAAAAAAAAAAAGGGGGGGGGGGGGACAGAAUAAUAUACAGUUGUGAGUGAAAGUCAGAGCACCCCUUUAAAAAAAGCAUAGUUUAUUUCCCAAAAAAUUAACCUUGAUAUUUAUAGUCUCUCUGGUAAAUAGGAAAAAAAGACAAUAUUAACAGAAAUCAUAAAUGCAUAGUUACUUUUUAUUUUAUAAAAAGUACAAAAUUACAAAAAUAAAAAUCAUCUUUUUAGCAUGUGCAAAUGUCAGGGCACCCUGAGAGCUUUAAAGUGUCUGGUCUUUAAAGAUUUUUUUUAGAAGCUCAGGCUGAGUCCGAAAUGGAUCCCUAACCCCUAUAUAGGUGACUACAUGGGGGUUAGCGCCAUUUUGAGGGGUAUCUGAAACCUCAGUGAUCAAUUCCAGUGCCUAAUAUAGGUGACUCAAAAUUUCCCAUAAAGCAUUGCAAAAUGUAGUAACCAUCUGAUGGUCACUCAACGGUGGCGGGCAUCCCAUCAUGCAUUGCGUCAUGCCAUGUAGUGUCCAAAACCUCCGGUAAUUGAGUUCACUACAUAGUCAACUAUAUAGUAAAACCCCAUAUGGGGGUCAGGGGUUAGGGAUUGAGUGAUUCAUUUCGGACACAGCCUCAGACUUUCACCAGCUCGUUAGUCCUAAAGCAGGUGUCAACAAUUUUCAUCAGGGAGCACCAGCUGGUGCCAAUUUAAGGGGUUUCAACUCCACAAACCUUGUGCAUUCAUCCAGCAACCAUGGGUUCCUCUAAGAAGCUGUGUAAGACAGAAAAAAAUGAAAGUUAUUUAUGCCUACAAUGCAGGGGAGGGCUACAAGAAGAUAGCAAAGCCUAAUCCACAGUGUGAGGUAUAAUUAAGAGAUGGCAGGUGAGGGGAACUGUGGAGGUCAAGAUUAGAUCUGGAAGACAAAGUAAAAUCUCAGAGAGAACAGCUCGUUUGCUGGUCAGGAAAGUAAAUCAAAACCCACAUUUGACUUCAAAAGACCUGCAAGAAUAUUUAGCAGACGCAGGAGUGGUGGUGCACCCUUCCACUGUGCGGCGAUGUUUGAACAAACAAGACCUUCAUAGAAGAGUCUGCAGAAGAAAACCUUUCCUGCAUCCUCAUCAUAAAAUACAACGACAAAAAUAUGCAACAGAACAUCUAGAGAAGCCUGAUGACUUGGAAAGAAGUGCUGUGGACUGAUAAAGUUAAAAUAGAACUCUAUGGCCACAAUAAGCAAAGGUAUGUUUGGAGAAAAAAAAGGAACAGCUUUUCAUGAAAAGAACACCUUGCCAACUGUGAAAUAUGGGGGUGGAUCCAUCACGCUUUGGGGUUGUGUUGCAGCCAAUGGGACAGGAAACAUUGCUUGAGUGGAGGGAAGAAUGGAUUCCAUUAAAUACAAGCAAAUUCUGGAGGAAAAUAUCACAGCAUCUGUAAAAAAGCUGAAGCUGAAAGGAGGAUGGACUCAAACUCAGACAUUGACUCAAAGAGGACUUCCUAAAAUUAAAAUUGAUAUGUGUGAAGGUGAUAAAGAAAAGUCUUUCUGAAUCCACAGUUAUUAGCAUUACAAACAUCAAAGCAAAUAUUUUAAGAAACAGCAAAGUUAAACAUGAGCACACUGUUGUAGUUAUUAUUUAAAUUACAUUUUUAUCACAGUUCAUGUUAGAAAAGAGGAGCAGAAGUUCUGCAGGAAUAUUUCAAACCUGCCUGUCAAUCAGUAUUCAUAUUAAACUGAACAUUUUCAUUAAUAAUUCAAUGAAUCUAGGUGAUCGGGUCCUCUGCAAGAACAUGAAAAAAGAAUUUUGUCUCGUAGGAAGUUUUAGACAAUGGACACAACUGUGGCUGUUAUCACUAUUACUCAUGUCUUUGUAAUAUCUGAGAGAAGCACUCACCAGCUUUACUGCAGUUGCCUCGAUUGCAAGACAGGAACCAUUGUUGUGAUAUUUAGCCUAAUAACCUCACAUGCUAAAAGAAACAACUAGUCUUUCAACGAGCUGAAGUAAAAUGUGUCUGAACCCUUUUCUAUGAGUUGAUUUGAAAUGAUAGGGGUAAUUUGAUCUAUCCAUUUUUUUCCAUGGUGUUUUUCUUGUUAGCGGUUAUCAAGGUUUUAAACAAUUAGUGACAAAUCCUGCUGAUAAACAACUUUACCACCCUAUCUUUGUUAAAUACUUUCUUCUUCUUCUUCUUCUUCUUCUUCUUCUUCUUCUUCUUCUUCUUCAGUCUCAAUACCACACAACAAUGGUUUCUUUAUUCUCAGCAACAAAAGCAGCACCAGGGACACCUUACCCCACACCUCACUUACGUCACGUCAAAUCAAUUUGCAGUAAGAAGUCUAGCACAUUUCACCUCUGCCUCUUGAUACCCUGGCAAACAUUCAGUUUCAAUCUCUGAGGAUGUAUAGGAGGGGAUGAAAGUGAUUAUGUGGCUUUGACUGAGAGAGAGUGACCCCCUCUGCUUCAUGUGUGGCUCUAAUUUACGCUGAAAGGGUUCAAAUCCUCACAAGGGCCUGCAUGCUUUACAUUAUCACUCACAUGAUGUUUCAAGGUUGGAGUAUAAUUUACACGUGGCAGCACAUCUAUUGAUAGUACACAAACAAACUGAAUCUGAUUCUUGCAAGAGCUGCACACAGAAAUGACUACAGAUGCUGCAGCUAUAAUGAAAGUCAAAUGUUGAAUUUCUUUUCUGUGUUCCCUCUAUCCGGUCAAAUUUGGAGAUAUGGAUUAACAUCAAAAGCAGACACACUGAGUCACUUAUGAGUAAUGACAAUUUUUUAUUUCAGGUUCAAUCAGCGAGGUCAUCAUUUUCUUUUCCUCUUUGGCUCAGUACUGCCACAAGUUAUUACCCCAGCUCCUCAUUUCAUCACCACAGAACCUGUAGUUCAAUGAGUCCAAGGACACGGGGAAGGAUCUGGCUCCACACUGCAACCAGAUCAAUACGAAGCCAGUUCAGUUCAUUGAGACACAGUCGAGGAGUGAGACGCUCCACCAGGCACAAUGCAGGUUCAAAAUUACGGGCUGGAUAAAUUCACUAAUGCAGAGAAAACGGUAAAUAUAGAGUUAUACAUUAUCUCGAGUAUCUUCAUGUUGUUGCUUAAGCAUUGGUGUAGAAACCAGAGGUAGCGUGAGGGUGUUUUCUUCUUUUCAUUUACAGCAGACGCAACCAAGCAUUGAGACCUCUGGCCAGCUGAAGUAACCCUUUUAACUCGAAGGUGUCAAAGCGUGAAAUCUGUGCAGUUGUGUUAAAAGCAACUGCAGAAAAGUAGAGCUAAAUGUUCCCAUGCUAGAAGGUCUCAUAACGCUGCUAACAGAUGUGACAGCCGUCUCACUUCAUCACUCUGACAACAGCUGAUUAGCACAGUACAGGAAGUGUAGUCCUCAGAGUAUUUUAGUAUACUGGAAUAGCUAAAACUUCUUAUACCUGCUUAUAAAAAAAUAAUGUCCUUAAAAAUAAGGACAUUAACACACUGAAAGCCAUAAAAACGCGGAGACUGUUUUCUCUCCCAUUCUAUUUAACACUAAAGGUGCACAAAUCUCACAUUAGACUUGGAUGCCUCAGGGAUCAUUUCUUUCUUGUAGCCUCAGAAUUACCCAGCAUCCCUCAGGAUGGUCAGUAAAACUCUGCAAUGGAAGAUAUAACUGUGGACAUAUUUGUCUUCGAUUUUAUUGUUCCUGUUUACAUCUGCAUGCACAAUUACUCCAUUCCUCUUUGGACCCAAAAUUGCUCCAUAAAAAUUGGCUUGCUUGGUACAACAUGCAGGAACAGAAUAACACUGUAGUCUUUCUUUUUUAGAAUGUCAGCAUUAGGCCAUUUACUUUGAUGUGAUUGAAAUUAAUUAAAUUAAUUAAAAUGAAUUCUGUUUUGUACCUUUUGGUCAACUGUUAUGGCCAUCACUUAAAGGUCAAGUUAUGGUCAAACACACCGUAAUACCAAGUUAGACACCCCCACAAGAGAUGGAUGUUGCCGACUGCUUGCCUUCUUUAGUUAUACCAACUCUCCACAGCCACUCUAAAGCCACAAAUAAUGUUCAGAACAGCACCUAACUUCAUUAACAGUACAUAUAGGGUCCCAGCCAUAGUACUAGCCAUCAAACAUCUUUUUAGCUUUGCCUGGUUUCUUUAGCAAAGAGACUAAACACAACUUACCCACUCUCCUCCAGCAUCCGCUUGUUUGUGGAGCCCUGACGAGUCGAUCACCGUGUGUAGCAAAGUUUCACAGCUCAAGGAAGAAGAUUUAUGAUUAUUUCCUCAUGGAAAUGCAAU
rnacentral:lncRNA from 1 species